rnacentral:tRNA from 1 species
ACUUAAUUAGUUUAUAAUAGAAUAUUGAUUUGUGAUAUCAAAGGAAUGUUUAACAUAUUAGGUU